GCUGUAUGUACUCUAAAUUAAUGUUCAAUAUAUGCUGCUAUUACUACCAUAGUCAUAAUUCAAAUAACCAAAAUUGAAGGCAGGAAAAUGGGAGUGGUUCCACUUACUAUUAGCCCUAGUGUUUUACCAGCAAUUUUUAAAAACAUCUCUAAGACCUUCAGUUUUUCUAGUCUAGAGAUUCUAGUUUUUAAGGAAUAAAUGGUUCUACCAGAAGACAAAACAUGAUCCCACUGAACUAGAAAUUGAGACUGCCACACAAACAGUUUGGAUUACUCAUGCCUCUGAAAGAACAAUAAAAGAAUGAGGUUACUAUAUUUAUUACAGUUUGGCCAUGAUAACCAAGGAAAAAAUGGGCUUCUAGUACACAAUGGAGAAGAGUGAACAUCACCCGAGGACUUUGCAUUGUCUUCUGGGGAAAGGGUGAGCAUGUUUUUGGUUGCAUAUGGGAUAGUUUUGCCACAGACAGCAGAAGUAUGUUCAUGU
rnacentral:lncRNA from 10 species